UACGUAGGGGUCGAGCGUUGUCCGGAUUUAUUGGGCGUAAAGGGUGGGCAGGUGGCCGGUGAUGUGCCGUGUGAAAGCGCCGUAGUAACUGGACGGCGAGGUACGCGGUAGACACACCGGGCGUUGAGGCAGUGAGGGGGCGGUGGAAUUCCCGGUGUAGUGGUGAAAUGCGUAGAUAUCGGGAGGAACACCAGUGGCGCGAAGCGCCGCCUGGCACUGACCUGACAGCUGAGCCAACGACGGCGUGGGGGAG
rnacentral:rRNA from 1 species